rnacentral:sRNA from 1 species
CACCCAGCUGAGCUCUCCUGGAGCUUCUGGCAACGUCACACCUCCUGAGGACAGCCAGGACUCCAGCUUUUGCUGAGCUUUGCAUCUUGCCUCCUUCCUUCAAAAGGCUCCAGGCCCAUGCUUGGCUGUCUUCAAGUCCCGCAUGCCCCUGGCCAGGCACCUCACCGCCCCUCCAGCCCAGCCCAGUCCUAGAGCUCACCUCCAGGACCCAGAGUCUGCCCUUCUGCCCAGAAUGACUCACCAUUAUUUCUAGCUCAAGUGAGACGUGAUGAGGAGUUGGGCUGCCUGUUUGUGCAUCUCAGAUUCCUGCAGCAUCUGAUCAGCUCUGCAAGGAAGAGAACUUCACGUCUCUGGUCAGGCCAUACCGUAAUCCCAGGGUGGGCACUAUUGCUUGUACACAUUUUAUCAAUGAGAAAACCAGGA